GUGCCUUGUCGGACGGGUCUGUGCAGCAUUGUGCAACAGAACGUUCUGGGAUGUUGGGUGGAACCUGCUAGGGCUCUGCACCUUGUGACUGCUGCGUUUUCCUGCUUGCUCUGCAGUGCUGGGAUGGCACGGCACCCUGGCCUUGAGCACCCCGGGCCAGGGCCACCCCUGAGCCGCACCCAGCCUAGAACCAGAACUUUUCAGUGUGGUGCUGAGAAUCAAACCCACUGCCUCCCGCAGUGCUCCCUAUUCCUCCACCCGUUGAAGGUCACCUGGUUCCCUAGGCUCAGCUGCUGUGAGUUGAGCGGCUGUAGAGGCUGACGUGGCCUCACUGUAGAGGCUGAGUUGAAGACCUCGGGGUAGAAGCCCAGCAGUGGGAGAGCUGGUCCGGUGGAGGCUCCGCCCCUGGUUCUGAGGAAUCCCCGCCCUGCUUUCCACAGCGGUGGCACCUUGGCAGUCCCACCAGCGGUGUAUGAAUGUGACCUUGGGGCUGGGGCGGUGGCCCAGGGGUAGAGCCCUUGCCUAGCAUGCGCGGGGCCCUGCGUUGGAAUCUCAGCACCACGUGAAGAUUGUGUCCCUUUACAACUAAAAAAUUGUUUUUAAAAAGUGGACCUUU